AACGAACGCUGGCGGCAUGCCUAACACAUGCAAGUCGAACGAGACCUUCGGGUCCAGUGGCGCACGGGUGCGUAACGCGUGGGAACCUGCCCUUAGGUUCGGAAUAACCCCCCGAAAGGGGUGCUAAUACCGGAUAAUGUCUUCGGACCAAAGCUUUAUCGCCUUUGGAUGGGCCCGCGUUGGAUUAGCUAGUUGGUAGGGUAAAAGCCUACCAAGGCGACGAUCCAUAGCUGGUGUGAGAGGAUGAUCAGCCACACUGGGACUGAGACACGGCCCAGACACGUGCGGGAGGAGGCAGUAGGGAAUAUUGGACAAUGGGCGCAAGACUGAUCAAGCAAGGGCGCGUGAGUGAUGAAGGCGUGAGGGUUGUAAAGCUCUUUUAGCCGGGAUGAUAAUGAAAGUACCGGGAGAAUAAGGCACGGCUAAAUCCGUG
rnacentral:rRNA from 1 species